rnacentral:rRNA from 1 species
AGAACGAACGCUGGCGGCAUGCCUAACACAUGCAAGUCGAACGUGAUCCAGGCUUCGGCCUGGUGAAAGUGGCAGACGGGUGAGUAACGCGUGGGAACCUGCCCUGUGGUAGGGAAUAACCGUGGGAAACUGCGGCUAAUACCCUAUGAGUCCUUCGGGAGAAAGAUUUAUCGCCAUAGGAGGGGCCCGCGUCGGAUUAGGUAGUUGGUGGGGUAACGGCCUACCAAGCCUUCGAUCCGUAGCUGGUCUGAGAGGAUGAUCAGCCACACUGGGACUGAGAUACGGCCCAGACUCCUACGGGAGGCAGCAGUGGGGAAUAUUGGACAAUGGGGGCAACCCUGAUCCAGCAAUGCCGCGUGGAUGAUGAAGGCCUUCGGGUUGUAAAGUCCGUUUCGGCGGGGAAGAUGAUGACGGUACCGCAGAAGAAGCCCCGGCUAACUUCGCGCCAGCAGCCGC